UAUUACGGUCACCGACUUCAGGUACCCCAGACUUCCAUGGCUUGACGGGCGGUGUGUACAAGGCCCGGGAACGUAUUCACCGCGCCAUGGCUGAUGCGCGAUUACUAGCGAUUCCAGCUUCAUAGAGUCGAGUUGCAGACUCCAAUCCGAACUGAGACCGGCUUUCGAGAUUCGCAUCCUGUCACCAGGUAGCUGCCCUCUGUACCGGCCAUUGUAUUACGUGUGUGGCCCAAGACGUAAGGGCCGUGAUGAUUUGACGUCAUCCCCACCUUCCUCUCUACUUGCGUAGGCAGUCCCAACAGAGUCCCCAACUGAAUGAUGGCAACUGUUGGCAGGGGUUGCGCUCGUUGCAGGACUUAACCUAACACCUCACGGCACGAGCUGACGACAACCAUGCAGCACCUUGAAAAUUGCCCGAAGGAGGAUCUAUUUCUAAAUCUGUCAAUUCCCAUUUAAGUCUUGGUAAGGUUCCUCGCGUAUCAUCGAAUUAAACCACAUAAUCCACCGCUUGUGCGGGCCCCCGUCAAUUCCUUUGAGUUUCAACCUUGCGGUCGUACUUCCCAGGUGGGAUACUUAAUGCUUUCGCUCAGACACACACAGUGUAUCGCGUAUGUCGAGUAUCCAUAGUUUAGGGCGUGGACUACCAGGGUAUCUAAUCCUGUUUGCUACCCACGCUUUCGUGCCUCAGCGUCAAUUAUCGCAUAGCCAGCUGCCUUCGCAAUUGGUGUUCUAUGUCAUAUCUAAGCAUUUCACCGCUACAUGACAUAUUCCGCUGACCUCUACGACAUUCAAGAUAUAUAGUAUCAAAGGCAGUUCCCAAGUUAAGCUCGGGGAUUUCACCUCUGACUUACAUACCCACCUACGCACCCUUUAAACCCAGUGAAUCCGGAUAACGCUUGCACCCUCCGUAUUACCGCGGCUGCUGGCACGGAGUUAGCCGGUGCUUAUUCCUCUGGUACCGUCAAUUGAGAUAAAAAUCCCGUUUUCGUCCCAGAUAAAAGAAGUUUACAAUCCAGAGGACCUUCAUCCUUCACGCGGCAUGGCUGGUUCAGACUUGCGUCCAUUGACCAAUAUUCCUUACUGCUGCCUCCCGUAGGAGUCGGGCCCGUGUCUCAGUGCCCGUGUGACUGGUCGUGCUCUCACACCAGUUAAUGAUCGUAGACUUGGUGGGCCGUUACCCCGCCAACUAUCUAAUCAUGCGCACGCCCAUCCAAAACCGCCUCAACUAUAAUAUUCAAUUGAUGCCAACCAAAUAUCUUACGGUGUAUUAAUCCUCCUUUCGGAGGGCUAUUCACCUGUUUUGGGAAGGUUGCGUACGUGUUCCUCACCCGUUUGCCGGUCGCCGCCAGAGAUUGCUCCCCGCGCUGCCCCUCGACUGCA
rnacentral:rRNA from 1 species